GCCGGCGUCGCAUAACCUGGUAUUGCGCUGGCCUUGAGAGCCAGUUCCCUUCGGGGUAUCCCGGUUCAAAUCCGGGCGCCGGCG
rnacentral:tRNA from 1 species